AAAAUAAUCAAAUAGCAGGCCCUGUAAGAAAAACUAGAAUUCUGUGGGAAUGAUGAGAGAGGGGCUCAAGUGGGCGCAGGAUAAGCACGUGGGCGUCGCCUUUUCUCAAUGCACGCUGGCAUGUCCAUGGAAAAUAUGCCUUAAAACUCUCCGCCUUCCUGUUCUAGCUACAAAAAAACAUUAGUAAUUUACUUCACAGAUUUUAAUAUUUCAGGUCCUUUCUGUCUGUCUUGCUGUAUAUGAUUGGCAGCUUAUACUUGUUUGAGCAUAUCAAGAAGAACAUUAGAUUUCAGGAAGCAGGUUGUAUUAUUGAGUUCUGCCUUCUUCUGAGAACAUCUUUUGCUUGCUGUUGAAGAAGGAAACCUUUUGGAGCUUCGCCUGCAUUGAAUGGGAAGCUUAUGUUGGUGAAGGAGCUAGGUCUAUCAGAUUCAACUAUACCUAUAAAGCAAAUUGAUGAACAUAUAAUCAAGAAGAAAAUCAGAAGGAUUAGUCAUGAAGUUUAUGAAACUCGGAUCCCGACCGGACACCUUCUACACUGCUGAGGCCGUCAGGUCUGUCUCCUCUGAAGUUUCUAGUGACCUUAUAGUUCAAGUGACCGGAAGUAGAUAUUUGCUUCACAAGUUUCCUCUUCUUUCCAAGUGUUUGCGCCUACAAAGACUAUGCUCUGAAUCCCCUGAAUCCUCACAACACCAAAUAGUCCAGCUCCCUGAUUUUCCCGGUGGGGUUGAGGCAUUUGAACUCUGCGCAAAGUUCUGUUAUGGUAUUACAAUCACUAUUAGUGCCUACAACAUUGUUGCAGUGAGAUGUGCAGCCGAUUACCUGCAGAUGACAGAGGAUGUUGAGAAGGGGAACCUAAUAUACAAGCUUGAAGUCUUCUUCACUUCUUGCCUACUUCAUGGGUGGAAAGAUGCUAUUGUCACUCUACAGAGCACCAAAGCAUUUCCUUUGUGGUCAGAAGACCUUGGAAUUACAAGCAGAUGCAUUGAAGCUAUUGCCUCUAAAGUCUUAACUCAUCCCUCAAAGGUUAACUUGUCGCAUAGUUACUCUAGAAGGGAAAGGGAUGAUGUGUCUUGUAAUGGAGCAGAGAGCCAGAGGCUUAAACCAGCAAGCAAAGGUUGGUGGGCUGAAGAUAUGGCAGAAUUAGGCAUAGACCUAUAUUGGAGAACCAUGAUGGCAGUUAAAUCCGGUGGAAAGAUACCAUCUCACCUCAUUGGGGAGGCCUUGAAAAUCUACGCAGCUCGAUGGCUGCCUAACAUAUCAAGAGAACGAAAUUUUAAUAAGCAAGUAGGAUCUGACUCGGAUUCAGACUCGACCAACGAGACAACUUCAAAGCAUAGGCUGCUCCUAGAAACAAUAGUAAGCUUACUCCCAGCAGAGAAAGGUGCUGUAACUUGCAGUUUCCUUCUCAAACUUUUGAAAGCAGCCAAUAUUCUCAAUGCCUCCUCAUCUUCAAAGAUGGAAUUGACCAGAAGAGCGGCACUUCAGUUAGAGGAAGCAGAAGUAAGGGAUCUGUUAAUACCCUCCAUCUCACUUGCAAAUGAUACGGUGUAUGAUGUAGACUUGGUCAUCACCAUAUUGGAGCAGUUCAUGUUACAAGGGCAGAGCCCUCCCACCAGCCCUCCAAGAUCCAAGCUAGGGUUUGAAAGGAGGAGAUCUCGGUCAGCAGAGAAUAUUGACUUGGAGUUUCAAGAGAGCAGGAGGUCUUCUUCAGCAUCACAUAGCUCAAAGUUGAAGGUGGCUAAGCUUGUGGAUGGUUAUCUUCAAGAGAUUGCCCGAGACGUGAAUUUACCUCUUUCGAAAUUCAUUACGCUUGCUGAGGCCAUUCCAGAUUUCUCUAGGCUUGAUCAUGAUGAUCUCUACAGAGCCAUUGACAUUUAUCUCAAGGCACAUCCAGACCUAAACAAGAGUGAAAGAAAACGGUUGUGCAGAGCCCUAGACUGCAAGAAACUAUCGGUCGAAGCCUGCAUGCAUGCUGCGCAGAAUGAGUUACUCCCACUGAGGGUGGUGGUACAAGUUCUCUUCUUUGAGCAAGCUAGAGCAACCAUGGGCGGUGGCAAAGUCACUGAGCUGCCUAGCAACAUCAAAGCACUACUUGCUGCACAUAAUAUUGAUCCAUCAAGGCCAACAGCUGCAUUAAGCACAACUACUAGCAUUCAAGCAGAGGACCAAUGGAGUGUCUCAGGCUUCAAAUCACCAAAAUCUAAGGUUUCAACACUAAGGAUGAAAAUGGCUGAAGAUGAAUUAAAUGAAAGUGAUCUGCAAUCAGAUGGACUAGGGAGGAGUUCCAAGCUUAAGGCUUUCUGUGCUCUUCCUACGAGACCGAAAAGGAUGUUCAGUAAAUGGAGAAAUCAUUGAUUUUGUCUGGCCAUUCCAAUCUCUAAUUAUGAGUGUAAGGAAGACCUCAGGGAUCGCCAUUAUCAUCCAUUCCUAACCAUUCAUGAUCAAAUAAGCAAACAGCCGCAUACCUGCUAGACUUCAUAUGCCAAAUGUAACUAUAGGUGGGAGGGCCAAAGUCGAAAAUGUAAUGCUUGUACUUCAUGACUUAAAACUUCUAUAUUAAUUUGAGGAUCAGGUUUCAGCAGUAGUACUCUUUCAAAAAUUUUACAGGCUGUGCAAUUAUGAUUGAUCAUGUAAGUGCGUGGGGUCUUUCUUGGUAGUCAGAUGUCUUCAUUUCAAAUCAAUUUGAUAUCAACAGGUGGAGAUUUCUUGAGUCACUGUGUGGCCAGCACCAAGCUGCAAUUAGAGGGUGUUCGGAUCAUUUCAUCUACCUUUUCUGUUCUUUUCUCCCAAGCACACCAUUUGCUGACAGAAUUUCAAUUUAGAGGAAAAAGGUAGAUCUCUAUAAUCUAUGUAUGGAGUCCCUUGGUGAAAGCUUAACUUA